GGUCUCGCCUGCCCACUGACUAUAUGUUUAACGGCCGUGGUAUCUUGACCACGUGAAGGUAGCGUAAUUAUUUGUCUUUUAAAUGAAGACCUGUAUGAAUGGCAAAACGAGGGCUUAACUGUCUCCCCUCUCCAGUCAAUGAAAUUGAUCUCCCCGUGCAGAAGCGGGGAUUGACCUAUAAGACGAGAAGACCCUGUGGAGCUUUAGACCUAAAAUAAGCCCACCCAACAAAUUCAAGAAAAGAAUUAGACCCAGGUGAAAGUUAUUUAAGUGUCUUUGGUUGGGGUGACCAUGGGGUAAAAUCUAACCCCCACGAAGAUAGAGGACACAUACACAUCCCUCAACACUCAGAGCCACCUCUCCAAGUAACAGAAUCUCUGACUUUAAAAAUGAUCCGGCCAAGCCGAAUAACGAACCCAGUUACCCCAGGGAUAACAGCGCAAUCCCCUUCCAGAGCCCAUAUCGACAAGGGGGUUUACGACCUCGAUGUUGGAUCAGGACAUCCUAAUGGAGCAGCCACUAUUAAGGGUUCGUUUGUUCAACGAUUAACAGUCCUACGUGA
rnacentral:rRNA from 1 species